rnacentral:rRNA from 1 species
UACGGAGGGCGCAAGCGUUGUUCGGAAUCACUGGGCGUAAAGCGCGUGUAGGCGGCUUGGUAAGUCGGGUGUGAAAGCCCGGGGCCUAACACCGGAUCUGCACUCUAAACUGCCUCGCUCGAGUCCCGGAGAGGAUGGUGGAAUUCCCGGUGUAGUGGUGAAAUACGUAGAUAUCGGGAGGAACACCAGCGGCGAAGGCGGCCAUCUGGACGGUGACUGACGCUGAGACGCGAAAGCGUGGGGAGCACACAGG